UUGUCUCCCUGGAACUGGUUAAACAUUUUAUCUGCGGCCUAUCAAAUAUCCACACAUACAUAUUUUGUACAUAUACUUGUUGUAUUAUUAGUAAUAAAUAUUCUAUAUUCUUUCUACAAUUUGUAUUGUCUGUUUUUAAGCGCCAGUAGUCCGUUUAUUAAUAGCAUGUUAGAAAGGUUACAAACACAUUUAUACAAACAUGAAGCAGCUGUUUUUUUACUGAACUGGUCAGUGGUAAUACAAAACUAGGGUUUCAAAAAGAUGAAGAAAAAGAAAAAGACAUUUAAACAUGCUAAAGUUUCUGAAAAAGCAAAUCAGACAUAGUGUUUAACUGAAAUUGAAAAAAAGGAUCAUAAUAGUCUAUAAUAUGUAAACAUUUAUUUCAGAAAGCCAACAACAAAUGAAAGGAAACUAUGUAUUGCUUAAAAACAUUGACCAGGGCCGUAACAGCCUCAUGUUUGAAAUUUUAAAACAAAGUCACAGUACAAAGG
rnacentral:lncRNA from 1 species